UGGCUCAGUGGUAAAGAAUCUGCCUGCCAAGCAGAAGACACAGGUUCGAUCCCUGC
rfam:Ovis aries breed Texel chromosome 2, whole genome shotgun sequence.